rnacentral:misc_RNA from 1 species
GUGGGAUGAAGGAACAAUAUCUUCGAGCUUCUUGGCAGUGAAGAUAUCGAUUCCAACAAAGUGACACUUAGCAUGCCCGUGCUUGCCUGUCUUAGAAGUUGAAACCUCAACCACCUUGCAUGGACGGUUCUUGAUGACGAUGUAGCCGUUCUUCCGGAUGGUUCCAGCCUGCUGUGGGUAGGUCUUGGAGGCUCCGGCGUCGGCCUUAGAUUCGAAGUGGUGCUCCUCGUCCGACAUGGCUGAAGAUUUCGUUCUUCUACAGCUUCCGGGCUUCUUCUUCUGUGUUCAACAGUGAGAUUUCGGUGGAAGCGGAAGGAAAACGGGAUCUUCAGCCAUGUCGGACGAGG